rnacentral:rRNA from 1 species
AUUGAACGCUGGCGGCAUGCCUUACACAUGCAAGUCGAACGGCAGCACGGGUGCUUGCACCUGUGGCGAGUGGCGAACGGGUGAGUAAUACAUCGGAACGUACCUUAUCGUGGGGGAUAACGCAGCGAAAGCUGUGCUAAUACCGCAUACGCCCUAAGGGGGAAAGCGGGGGAUCGAAAGACCUCGCGCGAUUAGAGCGGCCGAUGCCUGAUUAGCUUGUUGGUGGGGUAAAAGCCCACCGAGGCGACGAUCAGUAGCUGGUCUGAGAGGACGAUCAGCCACACUGGGACUGAGACACGGCCCAGACUCCUACGGGAGGCAGCAGUGGGGAAUUUUGGACAAUGGGGGCAACCCUGAUCCAGCAAUGCCGCGUGAGUGAAGAAGGCCUUCGGGUUGUAAAGCUCUUUUGUCAGGGAAGAAACACCGGCUCUAACACAGUCCGGGAAUGACGGUACCUGAAGAAUAAGCACCGGCUAACUACGUGCCAGCAGCCGCAGUAA